AUACGAUAUUGGUCAUCAUCAUCAUCUGUUUUCUGCAUCUGUAUGUCGGGCGUAUAUAAGAUGAUCCCACUCGUUUCAUUGUCUACGGUAUUCUACGGCUAGCCGGGUUGUCAUUUAAUCACCAUGCAUACACGGAGCUCUCGAAGAAUUCACUGAAAUGGAGUAUCUGCCUAAGAAAGAAAACAAAUUAGUACAGGCUAUCCGGAAAAAUAACUGGGAAGCAGUUAGAAGCUUUUUGCAAACUGAACCACAAUUGGUUAAUACUUACGAUGAGAUCGACUGGACGCCGUUAAUGCACGCUGUGUGGCGGGCACCAGACAACGUGUUGGAGAUGAUGAUUGACGCAGCAACAAGAGAGAACAUAGAACACGAGGACAAC